GUGGGGAAUCUUCCACAAUGGACGAAAGUCUGAUGGAGCAACGCCGCGUGAGUGAAGAAGGGUUUCGGCUCGUAAAGCUCUGUUGUCGGGGACGAAUGUGCAGUAUUUGAAUAAAGUAUUGCAAUGACGGUACCUGACGAGGAAGCCACGGCUAACUACGUGCCAGCAGCCGCGGUAAUACGUAGGUGGCAAGCGUUGUCCGGAAUUAUUGGGCGUAAAGGGAGCGCAGGCGGGAAGGUAAGUCGGUCUUAAAAGUGCGGGGCUCAACCCCGUGAUGGGAUCGAAACUAUCUUUCUUGAGUGCAGGAGAGGAAAGUGGAAUUCCUAGUGUAGCGGUGAAAUGCGUAGAUAUUAGGAGGAACACCAGUGGCGAAGGCGACUUUCUGGACUGUAACUGACGCUGAGGCUCGAAAGCCAGGGGAGCGAACGGGAUUAGAAACCCGAGUAGUCC
rnacentral:rRNA from 1 species